UACGUAGGGGGCUAGCGUUGUCCGGAAUCAUUGGGCGUAAAGCGCGCGUAGGCGGCCCGGUAAGUCCGCUGUGAAAGUCAAAGGCUCAACCUUUGAAUGUCAGCGGAUACUGCCAGGCUAGAGUCCGGAAGAGGCGAGUGGAACUCCUGGUGUAGCGGUGGAGUGCGCAGAUAUCAGGAGGAACACCGGUGGCGAAGGCGGGUCUCUGGGCAACAACUGACGCUGAGGAGCGAAAGCGUGGGGAGCGAACAGG
rnacentral:rRNA from 1 species